rnacentral:rRNA from 1 species
UAGGGAAUCUUCCACAAUGGGCGAAAGCCUGAUGGAGCAACGCCGCGUGAGUGAUGAAGGCCUUUGGGUUGUAAAACUCUGUCUUCUGUGAAGAAAAAGCCUGUGAGUAAAAUGCUCAGGCCCUGACGGUAACAGAGGAGGAAGCCACGGCUAACUACGUGCCAGCAGCCGCGGUAAUACGUAGGUGGCAAGCGUUGUCCGGAAUCACUGGGCGUAAAGCGCGCGCAGGCGGCGAUCUACGUCUGGGGUGAAAGCCCGGAGCUCAACUCCGGGACUGCCUUGGAUACGGGAUCGCUUGAGAAUUGGAGAGGCAAGGGGAAUUCCACGUGUAGCGGUGAAAUGCGUAGAUAUGUGGAGGAACACCUGUGGCGAAGGCGCCUUGCUGGCCAAUUUCUGACGCUGAGGCGCGAAAGCGUGGGGAGCAAACAGGAUUAGAUACCCUGGUAGUCCACGCCGUAAACGAUGAGUGCUAGGUGUU